rnacentral:lncRNA from 1 species
UAAUAAUGUAUAAUAUAUAGAUUGUAAAUUUUGUAAUAUAGAAAAUAAUAGAGUUCUUAAUAAGUUCUUUGUAUGUUUGCAUGGUGAUAAAAUAUAAUAGUUUUGUUUGUGGAAACACCACGUAAAUUUAUUACUGCAAAGCUUUCGAUCCGUAAGCCCAGAUCUUCAUCAGUGCUAAUAAUAUGAGUUCUUAAUAGUUAUUAUAAUAUAUAAUAAUAUACAUGUAUCUAGUAUAACAACCAGAGACGGAU